AUUGAACGCUGGCGGCAUGCUUUACACAUGCAAGUCGAACGGCAGCGCGGGCUUCGGCCUGGCGGCGAGUGGCGAACGGGUGAGUAAUACAUCGGAACGUGCCCAGUAGUGGGGGAUAGCUCGGCGAAAGCCGGAUUAAUACCGCAUACGACCUGAGGGUGAAAGCGGGGGAUCUUCGGACCUCGCGCUAUUGGAGCGGCCGAUGGCGGAUUAGCUAGUUGGUGGGGUAAAGGCCUACCAAGGCGACGAUCCGUAGCUGGUCUGAGAGGAUGACCAGCCACACUGGAACUGAGACACGGCCCAGACUCCUACGGGAGGCAGCAGUGGGGAAUUUUGGACAAUGGGCGAAAGCCUGAUCCAGCAAUGCCGCGUGUGUGAUGAAGGCCUUCGGGUUGUAAAGCACUUUUGGCGGGAACGAAAAGGACUGUGCCAAUACCACGGUUCGAUGACGGUACCCGCAGAAUAAGCACCGGCUAACUACGUG
rnacentral:rRNA from 1 species